GACCUGGUGGGGUCCACUUGCAGGCUGUGGAGGAUUCGAUCUUUUACUCUUGGAAAUAAAUCUUGCUGCUGCUGGCUCUCUGGGUGCGUGCCGCUUAUAAGAGCUGUAACACUCACCAGGAAGGUCCGUGGUUUCAUUCUGGAAGUCAGCAAGACCAAGAACCCACCGGAACCAACUACAGACACACUGCUGGUCCAGCUAUGUACAAACUGAAUCAAGAUUCUAUGUACAUCAGAAUCAAGAGAGAGUGAGUUAUUGACAUCACGGAGCGGUCUACAUUCUAGUUCAUGCGGUGGACCUGCUGGAUGGCCUCAGGACCUGAAAUGAAGCCAUACGUUGGCUCUCCUGAGUCUCCACAUUCUUGACUGCAGAUUUGGGACUUCUCAGCCUCCAUAAACAUGCUGGAGUGAGUGCAGUGGCGUGAUCUCGGCUCACUGCAAGUCCCGCCUCCUGGGUUCACGCCAUUCUCCUGCCUCAGCCUCCCGGGUAGCUGGGACUACAGGUGCCUGCCACCAUGCCCAGGAGGUGAUAGACCACAAAUAAAAGAAAACCGCAGAUGCACCACGCAUGGAGAGAGAGGGAGAGGGGCAGGAAUGUUGUCUGCCUGCCGCCACCUCAUUUUUGAAGGCUGCUAAGCCAGAUGUAAAAACCAAAGUCACCCAGUGAGUCAAGGAUGAAAACUGAGGUCGUCCGUCCGACUUCCAGCCCGGACCUCCCUUUUUGCUGAUCUUUGGCCACUUAAAUGCACAUGCUAAUAAUUUAGAAAAUAGGUGCUUAGGUCCUGCUUUGGGAAUUACCAUGGCUUGAAUGUAUUCAUUGAUGUGCAUAUAUGUACAUACAUCUGUUUAUACAUGUAUAUGCAUUCAUUCACCCAUAUCAAUGAAUGAAUGAAUGAAUGAACUCAUUUGCACUCAUUUACUAACUCAGCAAAUACUGUGCUAUGUACAGGAGAUGCAGCAGUGAGCAAGAGAGAUUUGGCCCUUCCUUUCCUGACCUAGUAAAAGACAUGGUUUCAGGUAACGUCUUGCGCUUCCAGUUGAUCCCACAAGGAGCUCUGGAGUGUGACUUGUACCCUAGAGUUGUCCUGCCUUGGAGUAAAGAGGCUGGCCUUUUGUACCCUUGUGUUAGUCAAUUAUUGGCUACGUGACACCAGUGUAGCCAACUGGUGCAGAGGGGACGGUGCACCCUCCCCAGGAUUUCCAGGUAAGGCAACUCCUGUCAGCGGAGGGCAAUGUUAGCUGUGGGGUGCUGCUGUGUUAGCAGCAAACAUUCACCACGGCAGGGGGCUGGACUUACCAAUGUACAUUACCAGUUUAAUAUACAUUUAAUGUACAACACCAGUUUAAUGCACAUUUAAUGUACCAUCAAGGAGGUUGGAUGCAUUGACCUUUCAAAGGGGAUCUGAGUGGGGCACCAAUGGCAUCUACUACGUGAGAGACAGAGCUUUAUCCUACUGGGAAAGUGGGGGAGGCAAUCUAGAAUUCACACUUCUAUGUGAUCUCAAUUUGAGGGAUGAGGGAGCUGGGCUGUUUACCCACCAACUCCUGGCAGCCCUUACUGAAGGUGACUCCUGGGGAGGUUAAUUCUCAGCGUGGCCUGUGUGUAGCCACAGAGAGCUCCAGCAGCAGAGUCAGUCAUGUGCUGGAAGGUGGAGAUUGGGCAGAUGUGCUUGGAAAUGGGGAGCAUUAUGGAAAUGUGGGUGUGUGGGAUGCCAAGAUCAUCUGCUCCAGGUGGCCUGCACCAAUCAGACUUAUCCCCCAGAAAUGUGGAAUGAGGAAGCUGGUGGAAGCUUGGAGUCUCAGGUCAGCUGAGGACCAGAGCAAGGAAAUGACAACUGUGGCUGGAGUGGUCAUCAUGGCCUUUUGCGUGGUGAAAAUGUACGGGCAUGAAGGGUCCUCAUUUGCAGCCGUGUAUUAUUUAAGGGGAUUUGGGUAAUUCCAGGCCUGGGCAAAACAACCAACCCACGGGAUAGCGGCAGGAUGAGGACACAGCAGCCGCCACCAUUGGAGCAAGGAAGGGGCGGCUUUCCCAGAAGUGGUGGUGCGGAGUUCGGGCCAGCAGGCAGAGCUGAGCAGGGCUGUCGGAGCCACAUCCAGUCACUGAAAACGAGAGUUCUACCUCCCAAGUAGUUCGUGAUGCUGCCUGUUCCUCUCUUGGCUUCUUGUCACCCACUCAACCUAGGCUUUUAUUACUGCUUACCUGAACCUUUGCGAUGAGUUCUUCCCAGGCCCUGGGGAGGCAGAAAGGAGGAGAGAAUGAGAAGGGAGAACAGAGAAGAGGAGAGGGGAAGGAGUAAAAGAGAGGAAGGAAAAAAGAUGUAGAAAUCAUGUUUUUAACUUUCUGUCUUUGAUGAUGCUUGGGAAUUGUGGAGGUCUUGAGGAUCCAAGGAGGGAGUGCCCCUCCCAGGGUUAGGUAAUUCCUAGAGAUAGCAAACCACUUCUCUUCUGAGCAAGCCUUUGAUAUGCAAACCAACCAAUCCUGAGUCUUUUUUUCAACCUCCUGCCCUCCAGGACGCUAUCCCCCUGUUCCAAAUCACCCCAGGACCAGGAACCAGACAACUAGGGACUGCCCCUAUAGCCCAGAGUCAGCCGAAAUUAUUCAAAAUGGCCAAUGCUAAGUCUGCCUACCCUGGCUCACCUGUUCUUUCCAGUAAAAUCCAUGAUAUUGUUAUCAUUAGUAUUAUUACUGUUUUUGAGACAAGGUCUCACUCUGUCUCCCAGGCUGGAGUACAGUGGCACAAUCUUGGCUCACUGAAACCUCUGCCUCCCAGGCUCAAAAGAUCCUCCCACUUCAGCCUCCCAAAUAGCUGGGAGGACAGCGUGCACCACCGUGCCAGGCUAAUUUUUUGUACUUCUUGUAGAGGCUGGGUUUCACCAUGUUGCCCAGCCUAGUCUCGAACUCCUGGGCUCAAGAGAUCUGCCUGCCUCGGCCUCCCAAAGUGCUGGGAUUAUAGGCGUGAGCCACCAUGCCCAGCCUAUUAUUAUUAUUAUUAUUUUAUUUUGGCCACCAUUAACUGAGAAAACAAAAUCCAUGAUAAAGGCCCUGGCCUAUGCUUUCCCCUGGCUUCUUCUGCCCUGUGUAACGUGUUACGCCCUCUCCUCUUGGGAACUGUGAGUAAUAAACUAUCUUUUCAAUA